rnacentral:rRNA from 1 species
AUCCUGAGUACGACGGAGCACGUGAAAUUCCGUCGGAAUCUGGGAGGACCAUCUCCUAAGGCUAAAUACUCUCUAGUGACCGAUAGUGAACCAGUACCGUGAGGGAAAGGUGAAAAGCACCCCGGAAGGGGAGUGAAAUAGAACCUGAAACCGUGUGCUUACAAGUAGUCAGAGCCCGUUAAUGGGUGAUGGCGUGCCUUUUGUAGAAUGAACCGGCGAGUUACGAUUUGAUGCAAGGUUAAGCAGUAAAUGUGGAGCCGUAGCGAAAGCGAGUCUGAAUAGGGCGUUUAGUAUUUGGUCGUAGACCCGAAACCAGGUGAUCUACCCUUGGUCAGGUUGAAGUUCAGGUAACACUGAAUGGAGGACCGAACCGACUUACGUUGAAAAGUGAGCGGAUGAACUGAGGGUAGCGGAGAAAUUCCAAUCGAACCUGGAGAUAGCUGGUUCUCUCCGAAAUAGCUUUAGGGCUAGCCUCAAGUGAUGAUUAUUGGAGGUAGAGCACUGUUUGGACGAGGGGCCCCUCUCGGGUUACCGAAUUCAGACAAACUCCGAAUGCCAAUUAAUUUAACUUGGGAGUCAGAACAUGGGUGAUAAGGUCCGUGUUCGAAAGGGAAACAGCCCAGACCACCAGCUAAGGUCCCAAAAUAUAUGUUAAGUGGAAAAGGAUGUGGCGUUGCCCAGACAACUAGGAUGUUGGCUUAGAAGCAGCCAUCAUUUAAAGAGUGCGUAAUAGCUCACUAGUCGAGUGACACUGCGCCGAAAAUGUACCGGGGCUAAACAUAUUACCGAAGCUGUGGAUUGUCCUUUGGACAAUGGUAGGAGAGCGUUCUAAGGGCGUUGAAGCAUGAUCGUAAGGACAUGUGGAGCGCUUAGAAGUGAGAAUGCCGGUGUGAGUAGCGAAAGACGGGUGAGAAUCCCGUCCACCGAUUGACUAAGGUUUCCAGAGGAAGGCUCGUCCGCUCUGGGUUAGUCGGGUCCUAAGCUGAGGCCGACAGGCGUAGGCGAUGGAUAACAGGUUGAUAUUCCUGUACCACCUAUAAUCGUUUUAAUCGAUGGGGGGACGCAGUAGGAUAGGCGAAGCGUGCGAUUGGAUUGCACGUCUAAGCAGUAAGGCUGAGUAUUAGGCAAAUCCGGUACUCGUUAAGGCUGAGCUGUGAUGGGGAGAAGACAUUGUGUCUUCGAGUCGUUGAUUUCACACUGCCGAGAAAAGCCUCUAGAUAGAAAAUAGGUGCCCGUACCGCAAACCGACACAGGUAGUCAAGAUGAGAAUUCUAAGGUGAGCGAGCGAACUCUCGUUAAGGAACUCGGCAAAAUGACCCCGUAACUUCGGGAGAAGGGGUGCUCUUUAGGGUUAACGCCCAGAAGAGCCGCAGUGAAUAGGCCCAAGCGACUGUUUAUCAAAAACACAGGUCUCUGCUAAACCGUAAGGUGAUGUAUAGGGGCUGACGCCUGCCCGGUGCUGGAAGGUUAAGAGGAGUGGUUAGCUUCUGCGAAGCUACGAAUCGAAGCCCCAGUAAACGGCGGCCGUAACUAUAACGGUCCUAAGGUAGCGAAAUUCCUUGUCGGGUAAGUUCCGACCCGCACGAAAGGCGUAACGAUUUGGGCACUGUCUCAACGAGAGACUCGGUGAAAUCAUAGUACCUGUGAAGAUGCAGGUUACCCGCGACAGGACGGAAAGACCCCGUGGAGCUUUACUGUAGCCUGAUAUUGAAAUUCGGCACAGCUUGUACAGGAUAGGUAGGAGCCUUUGAAACGUGAGCGCUAGCUUACGUGGAGGCGCUGGUGGGAUACUACCCUAGCUGUGUUGGCUUUCUAACCCGCACCACUUAUCGUGGUGGGAGACAGUGUCAGGCGGGCAGUUUGACUGGGGCGGUCGCCUCCUAAAAGGUAACGGAGGCGCUCAAAGGUU